ensembl:snoRNA small nucleolar RNA SNORD17
GUGAGAUGAUGAAAGUGUUUAUCCAUUCUCUGAGUGCUGGUUAGGGUCCUACUUUCUUAAUGGCGCUCAUGUCUGUUUUAGCCGUGAGUGUCCUCCGUCCCGGCACCAGUCUGCCGUCUCAGUGUUCUACUGGGGAAGCUUGUGUUGGUGACGGGACGGGAAUGGAGGUCCCUGCGAUAACAAAGACGAUUUAACACGCCUGAUCAC